UGCAGUCGACGAGAAGUGGAGCAAUCCAUGAGUAAAGUGGCGCACGGGUGAGUAACACGUGACUAACCUACCCUUGAGUGGGGAAUAACCUCGGGAAACCGGGGCUAAUACCGCAUAACACCUUCGGGUCAAAGGAGCAAUUCGCUUAAGGAGGGGGUCGCGGCUGAUUAGCUAGUUGGUGGGGUAAUGGCCUACCAAGGCAAUGAUCAGUAUCCGGCCUGAGAGGGCGCACGGACACACUGGAACUGAAACACGGUCCAGACUCCUACGGGAGGCAGCAGUGGGGAAUUUUGCACAAUGGGGGAAACCCUGAUGCAGCAACGCCGCGUGGAGGAUGAAGUCCCUUGGGAUGUAAACUCCUUUCGACCGGGACGAUUAUGACGGUACCGGUGGAAGAAGCCCCGGCUAACUCUGUGCCAGCAGCCGCGGUAAUACAGAGGGGGCAAGCGUUGUUCGGAAUUAUUGGGCGUAAAGGGUGCGUAGGCGGUGCGGUAAGUCUUCUGUGAAAUCUCCGGGCUCAACUCGGAGCCUGCAGGAGAAACUGCCGUGCUUGAGUAUGGGAGAGGUGAGUGGAAUUCCUGGUGUAGCGGUGAAAUGCGUAGAUAUCAGGAGGAACACCUGUGGCGAAAGCGGCUCACUGGACCAUAACUGACGCUGAGGCACGAAAGCUAGGGGAGCAAACAGGAUUAGAUACCCUGGUAGUCCUAGCCCUAAACGAUGAUUGCUUGGUGUAGCAGGUACCCAAUCCUGCUGUGCCGCAGCUAACGCGUUAAGCAAUCCGCCUGGGGAGUACGGUCGCAAGGCUG
rnacentral:rRNA from 1 species